CAGACCACACAUCUGAACAUCACUCAACUCUGUCAACCAUGUUCAGAGGUUCACGUCAGUUGUUGUGAUACAGUUGAAGCUGUGAUGCGAUUGGUCGUCACUGCUCUGAUGGGCGUGGCUGCUGCAGCUGCUGCUGUUCUUCUGGUCAAUGACAUCAGAUCUACAAGAGGUUAAAAGAAAA